rnacentral:rRNA from 1 species
CACUAUCGUUAACUGAAUACAUAGGUUAACGAGGCGAACCGGGGGAACUGAAACAUCUAAGUACCCCGAGGAAAAGAAAUCAACCGAGAUUCCCCCAGUAGCGGCGAGCGAACGGGGAGCAGCCCAGAGUCUGAAUCAGCUUGUGUGUUAGUGGAACGGUCUGGAAAGUCCGACGGUACAGGGUGAUAGUCCCGUACACCAAAAUGCACAGGCUGUGAACUCGAAGAGUAGGGCGGGACACGUGGUAUCCUGUCUGAAUAUGGGGGGACCAUCCUCCAAGGCUAAAUACUCCUGACUGACCGAUAGUGAACCAGUACCGUGAGGGAAAGGCGAAAAGAACCCCGGCGAGGGGAGUGAAAAAGAACCUGAAACCGUGUACGUACAAGCAGUGGGAGCACCUUCGGGUGUGACUGCGUACCUUUUGUAUAAUGGGUCAGCGACUUAUAUUCUGUAGCAAGGUUAACCGUAUAGGGGAGCCGCAGGGAAACCGAGUCUUAACUGGGCGUUAAGUUGCAGGGUAUAGACCCGAAACCCGGUGAUCUAGCCAUGGGCAGGUUGAAGGUUGGGUAACACUAACUGGAGGACCGAACCGACUAAUGUUGAAAAAUUAGCGGAUGACUUGUGGCUGGGGGUGAAAGGCCAAUCAAACCGGGAGAUAGCUGGUUCUCCCCGAAAGCUAUUUAGGUAGCGCCUCGUGAACUCAUCUUCGGGGGUAGAGCACUGUUUCGGCUAGGGGGUCAUCCCGACUUACCAACCCGAUGCAAACUACGAAUACCGAAGAAUGUUAUCACGGGAGACACACGGCGGGUGCUAACGUCCGUCGUGAAGAGGGAAACAACCCAGACCGCCAGCUAAGGUCCCAAAGUCAUGGUUAAGUGGGAAACGAUGUGGGAAGGCACAGACAGCCAGGAUGUUGGCUUAGAAGCAGCCAUCAUUUAAAGAAAGCGUAAUAGCUCACUGGUCGAGUCGGCCUGCGCGGAAGAUGUAACGGGGCUAAACCAUGCACCGAAGCUGCGGCAGCGACACUAUGUGUUGUUGGGUAGGGGAGCGUUCUGUAAGCCUGCGAAGGUGACCUGUGAGGGUUGCUGGAGGUAUCAGAAGUGCGAAUGCUGACAUAAGUAACGAUAAAGCGGGUGAAAAGCCCGCUCGCCGGAAGACCAAGGGUUCCUGUCCAACGUUAAUCGGGGCAGGGUGAGUCGACCCCUAAGGCGAGGCCGAAAGGCGUAGUCGAUGGGAAACAGGUUAAUAUUCCUGUACUUGGUGUUACUGCGAAGGGGGGACGGAGAAGGCUAUGUUAGCCGGGCGACGGUUGUCCCGGUUUAAGCAUGUAGGCUGGUUAUCCAGGCAAAUCCGGAUAAUCAAGGCUGAGGUGUGAUGACGAGGCACUACGGUGCUGAAGUAACAAAUGCCCUGCUUCCAGGAAAAGCCUCUAAGCAUCAGGUAACAUUAAAUCGUACCCCAAACCGACACAGGUGGUCAGGUAGAGAAUACCAAGGCGCUUGAGAGAACUCGGGUGAAGGAACUAGGCAAAAUGGUGCCGUAACUUCGGGAGAAGGCACGCUGGUGUGUAGGUGAAGUCCCUGCGGAUGGAGCUGAGACCAGUCGAAGAUACCAGCUGGCUGCAACUGUUUAUUAAAAACACAGCACUGUGCAAACACGAAAGUGGACGUAUACGGUGUGACGCCUGCCCGGUGCCGGAAGGUUAAUUGAUGGGGUUAUCCGUAAGGAGAAGCUCUUGAUCGAAGCCCCGGUAAACGGCGGCCGUAACUAUAACGGUCCUAAGGUAGCGAAAUUCCUUGUCGGGUAAGUUCCGACCUGCACGAAUGGCGUAAUGAUGGCCAGGCUGUCUCCACCCGAGACUCAGUGAAAUUGAACUCGCUGUGAAGAUGCAGUGUACCCGCGGCAAGACGGAAAGACCCCGUGAACCUUUACUAUAGCUUGACACUGAACAUUGAGCCUUGAUGUGUAGGAUAGGUGGGAGGCUUUGAAGCGUGGACGCCAGUCUGCGUGGAGCCAACCUUGAAAUACCACCCUUUAAUGUUUGAUGUUCUAACGUUGGCCCCUGACCGGGGUUGCGGACAGUGUCUGGUGGGUAGUUUGACUGGGGCGGUCUCCUCCCAAAGCGUAACGGAGGAGCACGAAGGUUAGCUAAUCCUGGUCGGACAUCAGGAGGUUAGUGCAAUGGCAUAAGCUAGCUUGACUGCGAGCGUGACGGCGCGAGCAGGUGCGAAAGCAGGUCAUAGUGAUCCGGUGGUUCUGAAUGGAAGGGCCAUCGCUCAACGGAUAAAAGGUACUCCGGGGAUAACAGGCUGAUACCGCCCAAGAGUUCAUAUCGACGGCGGUGUUUGGCACCUCGAUGUCGGCUCAUCACAUCCUGGGGCUGAAGUAGGUCCCAAGGGUAUGGCUGUUCGCCAUUUAAAGUGGUACGCGAGCUGGGUUUAGAACGUCGUGAGACAGUUCGGUCCCUAUCUGCCGUGGGCGCUGGAGAAUUGAGGGGGGCUGCUCCUAGUACGAGAGGACCGGAGUGGACGCAUCACUGGUGUUCGGGUUGUCAUGCCAAUGGCACUGCCCGGUAGCUAAAUGCGGAAGAGAUAAGUGCUGAAAGCAUCUAAGCACGAAACUUGCCCCGAGAUGAGUUCUCCCUGAGACUUUAAGUCUCCUGAAGGAACGUUGAAGACGACGACGUUGAUAGGCCGGGUGUGUAAGCGCAGCGAUGCGUUGAGCUAACCGGUACUAAUGAACCGUGAGGCUUAACCUU